rnacentral:SRP_RNA from 1 species
GCCAGGUGUGGUGGCGCAUGCCUGUAGUCCCAGCUACUCGGGAGGCUGAGGCAGGAGAAUCGCUUGAACCCAGGAGGCGGAGCUUGCAGUGAGCCGAGAUUGUGCCACUGCACUCCAGCCUGGGUGACAGAGAGAGACUCUGUCUCAA